rnacentral:lncRNA from 1 species
CCAAUUGAGCCAUUCCAACCCAUAUUCAAAAUUUAAAAUGGUCCAUACCUUUAACUAAUAGCAAAUAAAUAAAACGACUAUUCAUUCUACAUUUCAAUUAAAAAAAGACACACUCACACACACAAUUAAGCCAACACAUCAUUGGAAUUAAUUACCUCAAUUGUGUCAAGUGACUCGAGCCAAGAAUAAUGAGGCUUCCAUUCAUGCAGCUAUAGUGAAUGAUUAAUCUUUUAAUAAGCCAAAAUACGGUAACAGUCGGUCUUAGCGGUGAAACAAUUUCAAGGAAAUAGUCAAAUAGAGGUUCGAAUUAAGAAAUGGCAGCCCUAAUUUACCACAUAUUCUAUUGAUCUCUUCUUCACUUCAGCAAUCAGCAUUGUUAUCAUUGGGGUUCUACCAUCUCAUUUGCGCCACCGGAAGGCAGAAACCAUCUCAAGUCCCUGCGCGAUUAUGUCGUUAAGCUGUAUCAUCCUCUUCUUCAUCAAAUCAAUUGCUAUGUAUCUCCAGCUCUAUUUGAUCAGCCUCUAUCUCUUCAUUGCCUUGGUCAACCAGCUCCUUGUUUACUCCAACGCUGACCCGCUCUUCAAUAGUCGAACCCCUGUUCACCGCUUCACUCCCUCCAUGCUACUGCCUUUUUCCUCCGCUUCCUCAUUUUGGACAACAGCGGAGGGCUCUUGGGCUUUGCUUGGAUUAGCAUAAUUUGAAAAAAAAAAAAAAAAAAAAAAAAGUUUGGGCCUUUGGG